UACGGAAGGGGCAAGCGUUGUUCGGAAUCAUUGGGCGUAAAGGGCGCGUAGGUGGUUCUGUAUGUCUACCGUGAAAGCAUACAGCUCAACUGUAUUUUGUCGGUAGAAACUGCAGGACUUGAGGCUGGGAGGGGCUGGUGGAAUUCCCUGUGUAGCGGUGAAAUGCGCAGAUAUCGGGAGGAACACCGGUGGCGAAGGCGGUUCUCUGGGCCUUACCUGACGCUGAGGAGCGAAAGCGUGGGGAGCGAACAGG
rnacentral:rRNA from 1 species